rnacentral:rRNA from 1 species
GAUGAACGCUGGCGGCGUGCCUAAUACAUGCAAGUCGAGCGAACAGAUGAGGAGCUUGCUCCUCUGACGUUAGCGGCGGACGGGUGAGUAACACGUGGAUAACCUACCUAUAAGACUGGGAUAACUUCGGGAAACCGGAGCUAAUACCGGAUAAUAUAUUGAACCGCAUGGUUCAAUAGUGAAAGACGGUUUUGCUGUCACUUAUAGAUGGAUCCGCGCCGCAUUAGCUAGUUGGUAAGGUAACGGCUUACCAAGGCAACGAUGCGUAGCCGACCUGAGAGGGUGAUCGGCCACACUGGAACUGAGACACGGCCCAGACUCCUACGGGAGGCAGCAGUAGGGAAUCUUCCGCAAUGGGCGAAAGCCUGACGGAGCAACGCCGCGUGAGUGAUGGAGGUCUUCGGAUCGUAAAACUCUGUUAUUAGGGAAGAACAAAUGUGUAAGUAACUAUGCACGUCUUGACGGUACCUAAUCAGAAAGCCACGGCUAACUACGUG